UACAGAGGGUGCGAGCGUUAAUCGGAAUUACUGGGCGUAAAGCGUGCGUAGACGGUUUCGUAAGUCGGGUGUGAAAUCCCCGGGCUCAACCUGGGAAUUGCAUUCGAAACUGCGAGGCUAGGGUACGGAAGAGGGAAGCGGAAUUUCUGGUGUAGCGGUGAAAUGCGUAGAUAUCUGGAGGAACACCGGUGGCGAAGGCGGAUCUCUGGGCCAUUACUGACGCUGAGGAGCGAAAGCGUGGGGAGCGAACAGG
rnacentral:rRNA from 1 species